GAUGAACGCUGGCGGCGUGCCUAAUACAUGCAAGUCGAGCGAACAGACGAGGAGCUUGCUCCUUUGACGUUAGCGGCGGACGGGUGAGUAACACGUAGGUAACCUACCUAUAAGACUGGGAUAACUUCGGGAAACCGGAGCUAAUACCGGAUAAUAUUUCGAACCGCAUGGUUCGAUAGUGAAAGAUGGCUUUGCUAUCACUUAUAGAUGGACCUGCGCCGUAUUAGCUAGUUGGUAAGGUAACGGCUUACCAAGGCAACGAUGCGUAGCCGACCUGAGAGGGUGAUCGGCCACACUGGAACUGAGACACGGUCCAGACUCCUACGGGAGGCAGCAGUAGGGAAUCUUCCGCAAUGGGCGAAAGCCUGACGGAGCAACGCCGCGUGAGUGAUGAAGGUCUUCGGAUCGUAAAACUCUGUUAUUAGGGAAGAACGAACGUGUAAGUAACUGUGCACGUCUUGACGGUACCUAAUCAGAAAGCCACGGCUAACUACGUG
rnacentral:rRNA from 1 species